rnacentral:rRNA from 1 species
AUUGAACGCUGGCGGCAGGCCUAACACAUGCAAGUAGAGCGAGCGGCGGACGGGUGAGUAAUGUCUGGGAAACUGCCUGAAGGAGGGGGAUAACUAAUGGAAACGGUAGCUAAUACCGCAUACCAUCAGAUGUGCCCAGAUGGGAUUAGCGAGUAGGUGGGGUAACGCCUCACAGAGGCGACGAUCCCUAGCUGGACUGAGAGGAUGACCAGGCACACUGGAACUGAGACACGGUCCAGACUCCUACGGGAGUCAGCGGUGGGGAAUCUUGCACAAUGGGCGCAAGCCUGAUGCAGCCAUGCCGCGUGUGUGAAGAAGGCCUUCGGGUUUUAAAGCACUUUCAGCGGGGAGGCGUUACCCGCAGAAGAAGCACCGGCUAACUCCGUGCCAGCCGCCGCGGUAAUAC